rnacentral:rRNA from 1 species
CAGUAGCCGCGGGAAUACGUAGGGUGCGAGCGUUAAUCGGAAUUACUGGGCGUAAAGCGUGCGCAGGCGGUGAUGUAAGACAGUUGUGAAAUCCCCGGGCUCAACCUGGGAACUGCAUCUGUGACUGCAUCGCUGGAGUGCGGCAGAGGGGGAUGGAAUUCCGCGUGUAGCAGUGAAAUGCGUAGAUAUGCGGAGGAACACCGAUGGCGAAGGCAAUCCCCUGGGCCUGCACUGACGCUCAUGCACGAAAGCGUGGGGAGCAAACAGGAUUAGAUACCCGCGUAGUCCCUGUCUCUUAUAC